rnacentral:rRNA from 1 species
AACGAACGCUGGCGGCGUGCCUAACACAUGCAAGUCGAACGGAGUGAAGGAGCUUGCUCUUUCAUUUAGUGGCGCACGGGUGAGUAACGCGUAGAUAAUCUGCCUUAGACUCUGGGAUAACAUCUCGAAAGGGGUGCUAAUACCGGAUAAGCCCACGAUGGCGUAAGUCGUUGCGGGAAAAGGGGGCCUCUGAAUAUGCUCUUGAUCUAAGAUGAGUCUGCGUACCAUUAGCUAGUUGGUAGGGUAAGAGCCUACCAAGGCGACGAUGGUUAGCUGGUCUGAGAGGAUGAUCAGCCACACUGGAACUGAGACACGGUCCAGACUCCUACGGGAGGCAGCAGUGGGGAAUUUUGCGCAAUGGGGGAAACCCUGACGCAGCAACGCCGCGUGAGUGAUGAAGGCUUUCGGGUCGUAAAGCUCUGUCUAGAGGGAGAAAUGAUAUUCGGUUAAUACCCGGAUUUCUUGACGGUACCUCUG